rnacentral:rRNA from 1 species
UACAGAGGGUGCAAGCGUUAAUCGGAAUUACUGGGCGUAAAGCGUGCGCAGGCGGUUUGUAAGUCAGAUGUGAAAUCCCCGGGCUCAACCUGGGAACUGCAUUUGUGACUGCAUCGCUGGAGUACGGCAGAGGGGAUGGAAUUCCGCGGUGUAGCAGGUGAAAUGCGUAGAUAUGCGGAGGAACACCGAUGGCGAAGGCAAUCCCUGGCUGUACUGACGCUCAGUCGCACGAAGCGUGGGAGAA